rnacentral:rRNA from 1 species
AUUGAACGCUGGCGGCAGGCCUAACACAUGCAAGUCGAGCGGAUGAAGGGAGCUUGCUCCUGAAUUCAGCGGCGGACGGGUGAGUAAUUCCUAGGAAUCUGCCUGGUAGUGGGGGAUAACGUCCGGAAACGGGCGCUAAUACCGCAUACGUCCUGAGGGAGAAAGAGGGGGAUCUUCUGACCUCACGCUAUCAGAUGAGCCGAGGUCGGAUCAGCUAGUUGGUGGGGUAAAGGCCUACCAAGGCGACGAUCCGUAACUGGUCUGAGAGGAUGAUCAGUCACACUGGAACUGGGACACGGUCCAAACUCCUAGGGGAGGAGCAAGUGGGGAAUAUUGGACAAUGGGGGAAAGCCUGAUCCAGACAGGCGGCGUGUGUGAAGAAGGUUUUCGGAUUUUAAAGCACUUUAAGUUGGGAGGAAGGGCAGUAAGUUAAUACCUUGCUGUUUUGACGUUACCAACAGAAUAAGCACCGGCUAACUUCGUG